rnacentral:lncRNA from 1 species
CUAUAAUUGCAUUGUUUUUACAAUAGAAACUUGUUUAUGGCUGUAUUUUUCCAGGUUUAGUGCUGAUAAAAUCUGAUAAAACUUUCUGAAUUUCAAGAUCAGAUCUACACCACCUGGAAUCUUGUUUAUGAAAAGGAAAGUAUUUUCCUACCUCUUCCCGUGCAGCUGAGUAAUUACUUUAAGUCUGAUGUCUUUGUGUUAAAUGGCAUUGCUUCAAACUCUGUGCAUGUCAAACAGAAGAAAGCUGGGAGAGUUUGAAAGGUUAUCAUCGUUUCUCUUAGAAUUCCUGUGUACUGAAACCCUUCAGAGAUGGCUGCCUACUGCAAGUCGCUGUUUGACAGCUUCACUCAACUUCAAGGCUCGUCAAUUCACAGGGCAAUCUGACAGCUCUCAGGCAAUAAAGUAAACAAGGGAUUUGGAGCAUCAGAGAAGGAAUGCUUAAAAUUAUUCCUAAUAUUUCUCCUAUUCAUAACAUGUCACCGAGCUUGUGAAAUUAUGAAGUCAGAAAGUCUCAGCUUCUUAUGCAUCCCAGCUGGUGUUCACAGGGUGAGUGAAGGCUUUGCGGAACACUGGCAACUGGUUUCCACGAGGUAUCAUCCAGAUUCAUUCCAAUGACUUUAUUCCCAGUAAUAAUGAGAGGCAUUGUUCUGAUGACUGGGGUUCCAGGUACUUUCUGUGUUAGUUUCACUUGGAGGGCAAUUCAGCUUUGGUGGAAACAGUGCAGUUGUACUUUAAGACCGAAUAUGACCACACUGUGGGUUUUCUGUGUAAUAAUGUCGUUAAAGGAUCCUUCUCUCAAAGGAGGCAGGAAGCCUGCAGAGCAGACACUUUGGUUGCACAAACACUCUCAUGCAGAACUCCAGCGGUGCAGGAACCUGCUGAGGGCUAAUCGCUGCGUGAACCCAACCACUUCAGUACCUGUUUAUGGGCUCACAACAUAUCUGCACAAGAACCAACAGGUUGAGAUAGUUUUUCUCCACUGCGUUCCAUGCAGUUGUUCUGGAAAGGAAUAGCAAAGCUGUGCAAGGCUUCACGAUGAACAAACUUCUUCCUGUAAAGGCAAGACCCUGCCAAAAUAAAUAGGGACUGCAGCAAAUGGUACAGAUGGUCAUUUCUUUCAAGUGCGUGUGUAUGUUUUAUGUAUUAUGAAUAUACAUGCAUAGAGUAUAUACGUAUGUUCAUGCAUUUAUAUGAAUUCAUGUACAUAAUAUUAUUUAAAAUAUAAGUCCUGGAGACUGUGUAAUCAGUGCAAGCAUUCCAGGAAACUGCACUCAGCCCGUCCACAGAUUUUUAUUGUAGGAUCUAGAGAUGAAAACUAACGUGCUGGGAUACAAAAGCUUAUUUCUUAAUAAUGAUAAAGUUACUGAAAGCAAUGCAAGCUAUUGAUGCCUGAAGCAGCCAGAUGAAAAUAGCACGGUCUAGUGAUUAGAAGGUUUUAAUAGGAAAUAAUAGUUUUCUUGUCACCAGGCUACAUUGGCAGAAUGAGUGCAGCAGCUGGAACGCAUAUGCAGAGUGUUUACUAGAGCAACUCUUACACUUUCAGACAGAAGGAAAUCCUGUGUAGGAUUGGAAAGUGCAGAGAGUUGUCACUAGGGAAUAGGCUGUCUGUGUGUCUCCAUGAAAUAAAAGCUGUGCGGACCACAGACCCUGCAGUGGGCACUUCCUGCCCCAUUUUCUGCAGCGGUUCAAGAUUGCUUUUCCUUUUUUCUUUUUCUUUUUUUUUCUUUUUAUACUGGAAGAUAUCAAAUCUAGCAGUAUUAUCAAUAGAAAUGCCGAGGAAGCUCAGGAUUUACUUUGUAUCAAACUUCAAAAAUCUUAUUAAGGGCUUUUUUUGUUGUUGUUGUUGCUAUAUAUUUUUCUUCAGCAAAAGUAAAACCUGGAAAUGUUGCCAUCGCUCAGGUCAUAUAGAUUGAUCUUUCUAGACUAAUAAGACAUCUGAUAUUAUUUGAAGUUGGGCUGGGUGCUUUUUUUCCAAAUCUGUGUAGGUUUCUAACUUCUGUGAAUGCAUUUAGAGGAGCAGCACACCGCAGCAAAUGGAAGUGGCCAGCACAAGGGGCAUCUGAUUGUUUGCCGAUGUGAUAGCAAUGGCUGGUAUUUACUAAUGAAUACGAAAACACUUUCAUUAUCCAAAUAAGUUAAAAAAUCUUAAAUUAAUGAUGUGUUUAUGUGACAGAUUUGUGGGAGGGAUUUCAAAUAUAAUCACCAUCAAUCUGACUGCAGCCAAAAUAAAUUUUAUGAAAAGUAAAACAAACUGUUGCACAGACAAAGUAGGCCUUCGGGGGCUCGUGCAAUAAUCUGUGUUUUCUUAUUUAGCUGUGUAUAAUAUUUCUGUUCAUUUCUCAUCCAGAUAGAAUCUCAGUGUAUAUAACAUUGCUGUUAAAGCCUGGGAGAGUCAACAUACGCCACUUGUCAUGGAGGGAAAAAAGAAAUGAAAGAAGGAAACGCAUAUUUAAUUUAUUUUUUUUCAAAUAAACAAGCCAUGUCCAGGUAACCAUGUGAGGCACGGAACAAUUGCAAAGCUAUCCUGUGUAAAGACAAGCAUAUACAUUCUCGUUGGAGUUUUUGUGUCGAUAGAUACUUACACAGAGAAGCCAUCUUUGGGAGAUCCAUCACAGUGGAAGACUGCCUAAAGGAAACAGCCAGUACUGUUCAUCCUCAAGAAGCCACAAGACUGAUCCAUUCUAAAAAUUCCAUUUACUUGUUUUGCCUGUAUUGAGCAACACUGUCUGAUGGAUGUAUCCACAAAAACUCCAGAAUCAUUUCCUGUGUUGUGUGAAUGUGUGAUUGAAGGAAUGUGCCUUUCCCCUGGAGUGGAAAGCCAAUAAGGCUGGUGGCUCCUGCAUUCAACAGAACUUUUUUGUAACUCAGUAGAAGCUGAAAAGGAAAUUGUGUCUCCUGUCCAAGCAAGCAUAAUCCUUUGAUGAGAAAACCUUGAUGGUAUUUUAGAAGAGGAAGAAAAUCCAUCUCUGCAGGGUCACUAGAGACUUCGGCUAUUACUAAUUGAUUCUACACGGAGAGCACACAGUGGGGACAGCCUUCAGUCUGAAGUGCAUAAAAAAAAAAAGAAGUCUUGCUGACUCUGAAGAGGCUUGGCUGCCUUUCCUUGGUGGAUGGGAGAAACGGUGGCUGUCAUCAUGCAUUCUGGAGGCAAACUUCCUAGUUCUGCCUGUGCCAGAGCACAGGCCUUCCUUCACGCACAUAUGGCAGGUAAGAACCCAUUGCACCUCAGGCACAGUGUCACAUUGAUAUAUGCUGUCUGACACGUGCUUCAGGCAGACUGGGGCCUAGAGGGAGCCCCAGUUUCCUCUCAGGAAAGCAAGUGAAGGGAAGACAAGAUAAAACACCCCAUUAAAAACUCACUGUAUUUCAUGCUUUUUUUUAUUGCAUGUAUGCUACUGGAGACUUUGACAUGAGGGACAUAUCAUUCUCUGUCUUUUUCUGCCCAGCAGUAGUGUACAAACAAAAAUAUAUACAAUUACAAAAGUUCUCUGUUGGUUCAACACAAACAGGACCUGAGGAAAUGGCCACAAGUUGGUUUAGAUUAGACAUAAGAAAAACUUUUUCUCUCAGAGAGUGGUCAGGCACUGGAAUGGCUGCCCAGGGAGGUGGUGGAGUCGCUGUCCCUGACAGUGUUCAAGAGGCAUCUGGAUGAGGAGCUACGAGAUAUGGUUUAGUAGCUUGUGAUAGCAGUGGUAAUGGGAGGACAGCUGGACUAGAUGAUCUUGUAGGUCCUUUUCAACCUUGUGGUUCUAUGAUUCUGUGAUUCCAUGAUGUUAUGAAUUGAGUUUGAUGCCACACAGAUUAAAAUCUACAAUUUCUGGGAAAGUUAAGCCAAGUCUUUGCAAAAGCAUUCACUGAAAAAUUAUAAAAAAACAAAGAUGUGGAUAAUUUCAUAGUAAGCCUCCCUCAAAAAUCCAUAAUCAAGAUAAUAUUUAAAUAGUAUGGAUGAGCUAUGAAAUAUACUUCCUCUCCUAAAAUAUUAAUCACAAAAACUUCACAGAAAAAGAAAAAAAAAACUUUUUUUUGUGUGUUUAUCUGCAAAUUUGAACUGCAUCUCUUAACACGGUUUUUUAUUAACACUUUCUAAAUGAUCAGUAGCUGCCUCCUUCUCUGCAGAAAAUUUUGUAACAGUCUCAAAUAAUCUGGAAGGUAUGUACCCAAAGCCUCAUUUAUGACUGAUGGUGAAAUAACCCAGACUGGCAAGUUUCACUUCAAUUUUUUGGUAAAGCAAGAAAAGUACAAAGAGCAGGCUAAUUUGCAGACCUGAGCAUUUAAACCACCUUAAUGCUGUGCAAGUCUUAUUUUACCCAAAUCUCAACUGACAUGCUUUUGAUUUCUACCUGUAGGCUACCAGCAGUUUCUGAGGGUAAAAACUAGCAAGUCAGUUCUGCUCUAGUCACUUCCAGAAAGCCAGAGGCAUUUGUACCUGUGAACAGAGGGAAAAGACUGAACUUGAGUUAAAAAUCUGGGAAUGGACACAACUGUACUGACAGUGUAUAUAUAGGUUACAUUAUGAGCUUCAGCCCAGUAAUUACAUACACCCAUUACUUCCUUAUAAAAAUCUGAAAGAGCAGACCUCCAUUGCUCUCGCUCCCAUGCAUCUUCAGUGUAAAGUAAUAAUCCUUUUAUAGUGCUGAUUUUAGGAGACUGGCCUUGCUCUUCCUCUGUUAUGUGCACUUCAAGUACAUGGGGUCUACUCCAGGAGAAAGCUCUAUCUGCAGUAUACGUUGAGCAGUUGCUUCUGUUACCUAUCCUCUUGUUUUGGGAAGUGGGUUUCUAUCCACCCGCAUCUUGCCCCUAAAAUUAUUUUGUUGUUGUUGUUGUUGGGUUUUUGUUUGUUGGUUUUGUUUUGUGGAAUCACUGAGAUUCUUGCUAACAUCCAAGAAGGGUUUAGCUCCACUGCUUCUGACCUCACCACUGGGUGGCAGAAACCAUGGGGCUCAGCAUGACCUAAUUGGUGCCUGUGGCUGAGACUAUAUCAGAGCAGCCACCCACAGCAACAGCUGCUGGCCCUGCAACCAUGCUGCUCCUUGCUGUGGAAGAUCCCCGGGUGGGGAGGCAAAAGGGACAUGGGGGUACACUGGAAUCGCAAUAUCUCUUUUGACUCAGGGUCACAUUGUACAGUCUGGGAUCUCCAAUUGCUCCUCAGCUCCCAUCUCGAUUCAGGCCUGUGUCCCUCAUGUGCUGGCUGAUAUAGAGGCAUAUUAUGAUGGCACAGCCACCAUGAACUAGCACGACUCUUGCAACCCAGCAACACGUAUCUCUGCCCAAUGUGUCGGUGUUGCUUCUGCUGAUUUGAAUGACAGCAAAUCUUUGUUCUAUUUUAACAGCAACAAAAAUUGCAGAAAACAUCCCUCAUGUUACCCAUCCCUCACAUAUUAGCAUGCCUGUGUCCUUGCAAAAAGCAAAGCCAAACCAGAGCAUCUGAAACUGCUCAUUAGAGCUGUCUGUGCUGCAUUGCAUGGCAGCUGCAGUAUUUGUGGUGGAGCAAUUUAGCAGCUUUCAGAGCUUGGUAAUGGGAUGCAGAUACUUUCACCUAUGGGUUAUUUGUGGAAGUAGUCUUGGUCAGCAGUAACCAGAAGUUAGUGACUUACUGACAGUUGUCUGUUUAAAAUGAAUGGGCAGUCAUGGCUCUGUUCCUCAUAGUUCAACUGCCUUCCUGGAAAAGCAUCAACUGCUCAAAUAAAUGGCACCCAGUCACCCUUCUCAGUAUAGAAGCCUUAAGGGACUGAGAGCCCAUUGUUAUUUAUUUGUGCGUGUAAUGAGUCUUCAGAAAUAUGUGUGAACCUGCAGAAAAAUGAGUGGACUUUUAUCAGAUGAGCAUAACAAAUUAGAUAAAAAAAUUCCAGUUGCUGAGAUUUAGGGCCCCAGGUUUUUCAACAGCCAGCCUGAGGUAGGUACAACUAUUAAAAGAGAGAGUUUUUGGUACUGGUGGGUGGACUUCUUACCUACUCUUGUCCUUACGGCUAGUGCUUACGGUAUGUGUGCCCUAUACAUUUUGGAGUACAUAAGUGAUUUGAAAAUCUGACUGUUUUUCAUUUCUUCACUGAUUUUAAAAUGCAAAAGAUUGGAGGAUGCUUGAGAGUUAUCAAAAGUUACCUGUGUCAAAUAUGGCUGAGUUCACUUACAUACAAGUCCUCCAGUCGCAGAUAGUGAUCUCUCAUAUCUGACAGAGCAAUGCUGAGCUCUACCCUUCUGUGGAUAAACAGAGACUGGCAAAAUUUAUUUGAAAGUCUUAGAAUGGUAAAAACAAUGAAAGGAACACAAACAUUAAUAAUCCGAUCCUCAGUGGCUAGAAUAUCAUUCUACUUUAAUCAGUUACAUCUGGGAUAUUGUGCACAAUUGUAGGACACACUUCACCUGAAAUAUAUUGAAAUGCAAGACAGAGAUCACAGAGCAGUGUUAAAAUUAAUUAUGGGAAGAGGUAAGACAUCUAUGCACAGAGAUGCUAUAAAUGAUAAGAAGGGUAAUCUUUAUGGACAGAGGAAAAGGAUUUAAUCUGUAAGAAGAAAAUCACACAAAAAGGUUUUUAGGAUGAACAACAGAAUAAUAAAGAGAGGAUUUUCAACAACAGAAGUACCAUAAAGAGCAAACUUAAACUGCAACAAAGCUGUAAAUUUUAAUAGCUUUUUCUUCUUUAUAUUCUCUCUGAUUUAUAGCAACCAUCCAACUCAGUAAGAGUGAUAUCUUCUCUCCCUGUAAAGUCACAUGGGAAAUAUGGACAGAUUUUCAAACUGCAAAAUAUGAAGCCUGUUCAACAUGCUAGUUGAAUGUGCCUUUGUACUACCUGAAUACAUUUUCACAGACCACUAAUAAACUCACAAGAGUAUAGGUACAACUUCGGGACUAGGUAAAUCUUGCACUGAAAAGCAUUGAUGUGUUUCAAUAGCUGAUGAAUAAAGAAUGUGAAAGAACCUGGAAUCCAAGUGUUAGGGGUGAGGAUAUGGAGAUGAGUGAUUGGCUAAGCUGUGUUUAGUCAUUUGGGACUUUGAGUCCAUAGUCACCAGAGAUGGCCCUAAAGCUGAGAUCACCAACCUAAUUUUACUUGUCUAGGCAUCAGUCUGGAAGGAAGUAUGGUCCCUAACGUAAAGACCACUGCUUUAUUUAGUAAGCCAUGUAAUCCUCUUGUGUAACAUGAGCAAUAAUAUCACAGUACAUACACUGUAACUAACAAAUUACCAAGAUUGAUCUUGUAAAUCCAUAGAGAGAAUGACAAUUUACUACCCCACCUAAAGCAUGUAUAUAAUCCAAGCUCCAGAUCAUAGCACAGAAGUAGGAAAAAAGCAUCAUUAGGCAAUUACUUCAAACAUCACUUUCCUUUCUGCAGAUUGUUCUUUUUUAGCAUAGCUUUUCUGCAGCAGUUUAGCCAAAGACCACUAACAGAUGUAGACAGCUUCUUAGAAAAACUGAGUGUUAACUUGCUAUACAGCUGCUAGGGAAAAACAAACAAACAAACAAAUAAACAAAAACCUCUGUGAUUUCCAAUAGAUGAUUUAUCUUCUUUCAUUUUUGACAUCCACAUAUUUUAAAUGGACUACAAUGCCUCACAGCCCAGAAAGAAGAGCGUUGAACAAAGCCAGAUGUAUUCUCUGUUCUGUAUUUAAAGGGAUUUGUCUCUGACUCAUAUGCUGGAAAGAUGAUUCAGGUUUAAUAUUUUUCCUGUUUGUAGAGUAAAUACCGAUGUUAAUCCAACAGUACUUGUGAAGAUAUGCUUUAUUAGCAAGUUUGAAUUAUCAUCAUGGCCCAAAAUCAAAAUCAAAAUAGAAGAUGCUGUGGAUAAGAGAAAAAACAUAACAACCUAAAUAAAUCUCUUAGACAAAAAUGCAUGUACUUGUAUAUGCAGCUUGCAGCCCUUGCAAGCUAUAAUCCAGCCUUGUCUUGUCACCAAGCAGCUGUGCUUGCAGCAAGGAAAUGUGAGUAAGAAUCAAUCCAAUGUGCCGUGCUACUUCCUCAAACUCUUAGCUGCUGUAUUUGAAUGCUGAAUGGUAUUCACAGGCUGUUAGAAGUGCAGGAUGUCUUGUCUGGAUUUUCCCACCUGUGUCAGAUGAACCUGUGCUGAGAGCUUGUUACGUUCACCCCUGUCCUUCUCCAGUAGCUUUGUAGGUUAUCAGACACGGCAGAUGAUAGCAACAACAUAUAGCUCCCUAUAUUUCUGCAGAAAACAACAAGGGUAGGACCACAUUUUACUAUUGCUUCUCUCUCAGGAAGCAUCAUGAAUGCAGAAUAUGCAUCUACUGCACUUGUCAAAAUAUUAGCAUUAGCAUGAGCACAGCAUUAAAAGUUUUCUUUGUGCUGGCAUGCUUAAAUUUCAUCUUGGAGUGAUGCAAUUAGUUCACAUGUGAAGCCAGGAGGACUUUUACGGUGUGGCCAAGAUGAUAUCACAUCACUUUACACUCCUUGCUAAUAUGUUUUUAUCAGCAAAAGUCUCUUGUGUGCAUUUGUUCUAGUUCUCUUUUUUUGAGCUGAUACAAUCCUUCUGACAGAGAACAGUAACUCCAACCUUGACUAUUUCCCCACAACACCUGUAGGUAUACAUGUAAGGACAGGCUUAGAUGCUAUUCAAAUUACUGUACAAAUUACUAUUAUUAUUACUUUAACUUUUCAUAAGAGACAAUAGCAAUUCUAAAGUAGUAAUUUUGUGCAUAGUUAAAUUGUUUUUUCACCUUAUCUCUGACUAAGGGACAGCUCCUCUACACAGUUCAGUUACAUCCUUUGAAUGGGUCUUUAUGGAAGAACAAUAUAUUUUAGAAGAAUAAAUGGUGGAAAAGAGAAAUCUGGGAUUUGUUUCUGAUUCUCCAUGGAGCUCAGGCCAGUUAAUUUACCUCUCUGUUUCUUUGUUAUUUUCCCAUCUCUUUUUUUUUUUUAACCUUUCAUUUUCUAGGGUAUGGGGUUCUAUCUUGCUAUGCAUUAAUACAACCACUGGCGCAAUAACUUCUCACAUCUAUAUGUAACAUAUAGAUAAUAGUGAAUACUGCUGCUACUACAACCAAAUUGACAGUGAUCUGAGGAGGCUAUCUCUGCCGCCCUACAUUUUUAGUCCUUACGAACAAUUCUCCUGUACCUAUAGCUCAGCAUGGAAGUGGCAAGAGGUUUCUGUGUUUCCUGUGAGUCACCAUAGAUUUUCUAAACCUGUACUUGCU